rnacentral:siRNA from 1 species
AUCGCUUGCUACUUGGUGAGGAUC